rnacentral:tRNA from 1 species
GGAGCCGUGCCUGAAAUUAUAGGACUACUUUGAUAGGGUAGAACAUGGGGGUUAAAAUCCCCCCGACUCCU